GAAAUGCGAUACUUGGUGUGAAUUGCAGAAUCCCGUGAACCAUCGAGUCUUUGAACGCAAGUUGCGCCCGAAGCCAUUAGGCCGAGGGCACGCCUGCCGAUAUGCUUA
rnacentral:misc_RNA from 1 species